rnacentral:rRNA from 1 species
GAUGAACGCUGGCGGCGUGCCUAAUACAUGCAAGUCGAGCGAACGGACGAGAAGCUUGCUUCUCUGAUGUUAGCGACGGACGGGUGAGUAACACGUGGAUAACCUACCUAUAAGACUGGGAUAACUUCGGGAAACCGGAGCUAAUACCGGAUAAUAUUUUGAACCGCAUGGUUCAAAAGUGAAAGACGGUCUUGCUGUCACUUAUAGAUGGAUCCGCGCUGCAUUAGCUAGUUGGUAAGGUAACGGCUUACCAAGGCAACGAUGCAUAGCCGACCUGAGAGGGUGAUCCGCCACACUGGAACUGAGACGCGGUGCAGACUCCCAAGGGAGGCAGCAGUAGGGAAGCUUGCGCAAGGGGCGAAAGCCUGACGGAGCAACGCGGCGUGAGUGAUGAAGGUCUUCGGAUCGUAAAACUCUGUUAUUAGGGAAGAACAUAUGUGUAAGUAACUGUGCACAUCUUGACGGUACCUAAUCAGAAAGCCACGGCUAACUACGUG